rnacentral:lncRNA from 1 species
GGACACCUUAUCUAUACCUGUGUCAUGACACUAACUGCAUUCAGCCUUUUGUUGCAAGCAUUUACAUUCCUAUCUCCUCUUCCUCUGGAACUAAGUGCAGGGCCAGAGACUUAGUAUUCUUGUGUCCUUCUAGGGCAGCUACGACAGUGCCUGGUGCUUGGGGAGUGCUUGACAGAUUCAGGUUGAAGAAACAAAGGCAGGAUGUCUGAGAUGCCCAGCGUGGGUGAGUGCACCCUCCCUCCCUGGCUCUGCUCCUCCCCCUCCCCGGAACCACCACCCCCUCAGCCCUGAGCUGCCGAUGCCCUCGGGGUUCUGUUUUCAUUCCAGGCUGUGGAUCCGGUCGUGGGAAGCAGUAAAGAUGGGAUCUUGUUCUGUUGCCCAGGCUGGUCUCCAACUUCUGGCUGCAAGUGAUCCUCCCUCCUUGGCCUGGCAAAGUGCUGGGAUUACAGGGCCGCACACAUACAGAGCUGAACUUGUAUCGCCGUGUAGAUGAAGACAAACACCUUUAGGAGAUGGCAGAGAAACAAAAUGGGAAACCCUCAGGUCUCCAAAUGACUACACCAAGCAGAAUUGCCCCACCAGCCUGCACCAUUCAUUUCUAGACUAUGAGCAAGAAGUACACUUCCAUCUUAUUUAAACAACCAUAUUUGGGGUUUUUGUUGUUGUUAUUGUUGUUGUUAUAGGAGCUUAGCUUUUACUCUAAGAAAUACAGCUACUCAACUCACUUCAUUAGGAUCUUAACUAUAAUAUCAAAACCUCCUAAGCACAGAAUAAAAAAUACAGUAGAGCAAUAUCAUUUAUGAUCAUAGAUGCAGAGCUUCCAAAUGAAAUACUAGCAUAUUCAAGGAAAGAUAUAUAUACCAUGACCUAGUUGUGUUUAAUUUCUGGAAUUCAAAAAUGGAAUGUUUGACAUAAGAAAAUCUAUUAGGCCGGGCGCGGUGGCUCACGCCUGUAAUCCCAGCACUUUGGGAGGCCGAGGCAGGCAGAUCACGAGGUCAGGAGAUCGAGAUCAUCCUGGCUAAUACGGUGAAACCCCGUUUCUACUAAAAAAUACAAAAAAAAAAUAUUAGCUGGGAGUGGUGGCGGGCGCCUGUAGUCCCAGCUACUUGGGAGGCUGAGGCAGGAGAAUGGCGUGAACCCGGGAGGCAGAGCUUACAGUGAGCUGAGAUCGUGCCACUGCACUCCAGCCUGGGUGACAGAGCGAGACUCUGUCUCAAAAAAAAAAAAAAAAAGAAAAAAGAAAACAGUUUGGCAGUUCCUCAAAAAGUUAAACAUAGGAUGUUUGAAAAUUUAAACGUAAUAUGACCUAGCAAUUCAACCCCAGGUAUACAACCAAGAGAAUUGAAAACAGGUGUUCAAACAAAAACUUGUACAGGAUUGCUCAUAGCAGCAUUAUUUAUAAUAGCCAAAAGGAAGAAACUACUCAAAUGUCCAUCAGCUGAUGAAUGGAUAAACAAAAUAUGGUGUAUUUCUACAAUGGACUAUUAUUCAAUCAUAAAAAAUGAAAUGCUGAUAAAUGCCAAAAUUGACGAACUUUUAAAACAUGCUAAGUGGCUGGGUGGGGUGGCUCUAGUCCGUAAUCCCGGCAUGUUAAGAGGCCGAGGUGGGCGGGUCACUUGAGCCUGGGAGGUCGAGGCUGCAGAGAGCUGAGAUCGCGCUACUGCACUCUAGCCUGGGUGACAGAGCAGACCCUGUCUCAGAAAGAAAAGAAAAAACAGAAAAGAGAAAGAAGACAGGAGAGGAGAGAAGGGGAGGGGAGGGGAGGGGAAUGGAGAGGGGGAGGGGAGGGGAGGGGAAGGGGGAGGGAAGGGGAGGGGAGGGGAACAUCCUGGCCGGGUGCAGUGGCUCACGCCUGUAAUCCUAGCACUUUGGGAGGCCAAGGUGGGCGGAUUGCCUGAGCUCAGGAGUUCGAGACCAGCCUGGGCAACACGGUGAAACCCCGUCUCUACUAAAAUACAAAAAAAUUAGUUGGGCGUGGCGAUGUAUACCUGUAGUCCCAGCUACUCAGGAUGCUGAGGCAGAAGAAUUGCUUGAACCCAGGAGGUUGAGGUUGCAGUGACGCGAGAUUGCACCACUGCACUCCAGCCUGGGUGACAGAGUGAGACUCUCUCCCAAAAAAAAAAAAAGAAAAGAAAAGAAAAGAACAUGCUAAGUGAAAGAAGCCAGAGAAAAAAAGGCAACACAUUGUAUUAUUCCAUUUAAUGAAAUAUCCAGGAUAAACAAAUCCAUAGAAAUGAAGAGCAGCUGAGGGGUUGCUGGGGCUAGGGACGGGGGGGAUAUCAGGAAUGACUGCUUCAUGGGUACAGAGUUUUCAGGUGAUGAAAUCUUCUAGAAUUAGAUAAUAGUGAUGGUUGCACAACAUUAUGAAAAUACCAAAAACCACUGAACUGUACACUUUAAAAUUGUUAAAAUGGUGAAUUUUAUAUUAUGUGACAAUUUUGUAAAAGAAUUCUAUAUCCAAUGAAAAUAUUCUUCAAGAAUGAGAGGGAAAUAAAGGCGUUCUCAAGUGAAAAAUCAAGAGAAUUUGUCAUUAGUAGACUUGUUGUAAAAUAAAUACUAAAGAAAGUUCUUCAAACGGAAGAAAGAGGAUACCUGAAAGAAAUUUAGAACAUCAAGAAUGAAGACAGAGAAACAAAAAUGGUAAAAAUCUGGUUAAAUAUAAUAGACUAUUUUUAUCUUAAAUUCUUUAUAAUAUGUAUAUGUUGGGGCUCAGAAAACAACACCUCAAAAGUAUGGCGCUUUGGUAUGCUGAACACUUUGAACUAAAAUAGAAAGGACUUAGAAGCUACCUCAGAAUAAGGCCUUUCUGGCCUCAUCUGUUUCUAUCGCCUAGAGACUUCUAGAGACUUCUGGAGUCUCUAUCCCCCUAGAGACUUCCCCUAGAAUUUCCUUAUCUGACUAAGGAAACUUCUUUCCAAAAGAAAUGCAAUUGUCUUAAGAUCCCCUUCCUAGGAAUCUCAUCAAAUAAUCAGAAAAGAUUAACCACCAGAGAAGAAUGGAGACUAAAGUCAGAUGACUCUUCAUCUAGUCCUCUGAGGCAGUGCCAAGAGAUAACCUGGGAGGCUUUAUCUACCAGGUUAAGUUUCACCCCUCACCUUCCGGUAACUUGCUGGCGUCGUUUAGUUUCCUAGGAGAAUCAUUUACAAGAUAAUGUCUGAGCCUCCUGGGCCCAUUCAUUUCCCCUAAAAAUCAUUAACAACCCCUGCAUUUUCCCCAUCUCCCUCUUCCCUAUGAAGCAGAUAUAUAAGCCUCAAUCAUCUGGCCCUUUGGGUCUCAUAUUUAAUAUUGUACCCAUGUUUUUGUAUGUUAAUAAAUUUAUAUGCCUUUUUCUCCUAUUAAUCUGUGUAUUGUCAGUCAUUUUAGCA